ACGAAAUCACAGUUACAAAUCUGAAAUAUUGGAGAUUCCCGAUAUUGCUCCAAUUAUGCAUGUUCUCCUUGUGCCUGGGAACCCAGGUGUUAUUUUAUUCUACAAAGACUUUGUGGAGUUUCUAUAUGACCAGCUUGAGGGAAAUGCCUCUAUCACAGGCAAGU